rnacentral:rRNA from 1 species
UAGGGAAUAUUGGUUAAUGGGCGAAAGCCUGAACCAGCAACGCCGCGUGCACGAUGACGGCCUUCGGGUUGUAAAGUGCUUUUUGGAGGGAAGAGGAAGGACGGUACCUCCAGAAUAAGUCUCGGCUAACUACGUGCCAGCAGCCGCGGUAACACGUAGGAGACAAGCGUUAUUCGGAUUUACUGGGCGUAAAGCGCGUGCAGGCGGUCUGACAAGUUGGAUGUGAAAGCUCCUGGCUUAACUGGGAGAGGUCGUUCAAAACUAUCAGACUAGAGAGUGGUAGAGGAAGGCGGAAUUCCGGGUGUAGUGGUGAAAUGCGUAGAUAUCCGGAGGAACACCAGUGCCGAAAGCGGCCUUCUGGACCAAUUCUGACGCUCAGACGCGAAAGCUAGGGUA